rnacentral:misc_RNA from 1 species
AACGCACGAGACCUGCGGACCUGCGGAGGGAUCAUUACAUGGCGGAGGAGGUGGGCACCUAGUAAAAACAAAACCCUAGGUGUGUUGCCUACCACGCUUUCUACCCUUGUCUAUUUGCACCUUUUGUCGUUCCCUCGGUGGGUCUUGAACCUGCCGGCGGCAACUUUCAAAAACCUUUUGUAGUUAGUAUCUAAUUCUUCUGAUCAAAUAUUCAAUCGUUACAACUUUUAGCAAUGGAUC